UACGAAGGGGGCUAGCGUUGUUCGGAAUUACUGGGCGUAAAGCGCACGUAGGCGGAUUGUUAAGUUAGGGGUGAAAUCCCAGGGCUCAACCCUGGAACUGCCUUUAAUACUGGCAAUCUCGAGUCCGAGAGAGGUGAGUGGAAUUCCGAGUGUAGAGGUGAAAUUCGUAGAUAUUGGGAAGAACACCGGUGGCGAAGGCGGCUCACUGGCUCGUAACUGACGCUCAGGCGCGACAGCGUGGGGAUCAAACAGG
rnacentral:rRNA from 1 species